AUGCAGGCCCCAGCUGCCGUCACCCUGAGCCCAAAUCCAGCCUCCUCCCCUCUGCAGAGCUGGCAUCGGCCUCUGCUGCCACCCGUGCGUGCAGCGGGCCCAGGCCCCGCCCCGUACCCGGUGGGACGCAUUCUGAAUCUCGCGGAUCUCGGCGUCCUCCUGGAAGCCCCUGUGGCCCUGGUAGAAGGAGAAGGCGCGGGCCACGGGGAAGGCCACGGGCACGAACCGCUUCUUCUCCAGGGCGUCAUACGAGUACUUGAUCUUCUGGAACUCGAAGGACAGCACCUCAAGGCCGUCUUCGCCCUGUGGGAGGAGGAGAGGUCAUGGCGGGGGGCGGGGGGCAGGGGUGGGUGGGAGGCCCCCGCGGCCGGGGGGGGGGGCGUCCCUACCUCGUCGCGGUGCAGGGCCACGAGCUCCGUGGAGCCGUUGUUGGGGGUCGGCACCACCUUCACGAAGGUCGCCUUGCGGGGGUCGUACUCCUGCGGGUGCAAAGUGCAGCGGGUGAGGCCUCCAGCGCCCCCCGGGGGAGGCUUUGGGCGCAGCAGCUCUGUGGCCGUGUGCUGGCCCGGCCACUUCCCGGGCGGCCCCUGGGACAAAGGACACUCCCUGGCUGCGCCUCUGGCUCUGAAUCAGGGCUGGGGGCCACGGUCAGCGCCCAGGGCCCCGCUGAAGGCGACGGGAACGCAGGUAGGAUGGAUGGCAGGGAGUACCCGGCACACCCUCCACCCCCGCGGCCAGGCCCGAGACCCCGCCCACCCGGCCUCCUGCCCCCGCUCUGCCGCUGCUCCAGCCAACUGUGUUCUCGCUGACCUCUCUCGCUCUCGUUUCAUUUAUUUGAAAGGCAGAGAGAGAAGAGAGACAGACAGAGCUCUCUAUCCCACUGGUGUGCUCCCCACAACAGCCGGGGCUGGGCCAGCCCAAAGCCAGGAGCCUGGAGCUCCAUCCGGGUCUCCCACGUGGGUGCGGGGGCCCAAGCACUGGGGCCCUCACCUGCCGCUUCCCAGGGUGCACCUCAGCAGGCAGCUGGAACCAGAUGUGAGGUCUGGACACGCGCACUGCGCAGGCACCCCUCGCUGCCUCCUUAGGGCUCAAGGUCUGUCUGGCCCUCAGCCAGCACCUGGGCGUGUCCGUCUCCCUGGCUCCUCAGCCACCCUCGGGACAGGGCUCAAAUGUCACCUUGGGGGGGGGCACGGUUCACCGGAAGUUCCCCGGUGGCGCCAGCACGCAGCUCCUGUUAGCAUCAGCUGCUAA
rnacentral:lncRNA from 1 species